rnacentral:rRNA from 1 species
GCGUGUGUGAAGAAGGCCUUAUGGUUGUAAAGCACUUUAAGCGAGGAGGAGGCUACUUUAGUUAAUACCUAGAGAUAGUGGACGUUACUCGCAGAAUAAGCACCGGCUAACUCUGUGCCAGCAGCCGCGGUAAUACAGAGGGUGCAAGCGUUAAUCGGAUUUACUGGGCGUAAAGCGCGCGUAGGCGGCUAAUUAAGUCAAAUGUGAAAUCCCCGAGCUUAACUUGGGAAUUGCAUUCGAUACUGGUUAGCUAGAGUGUGGGAGAGGAUGGUAGAAUUCCAGGUGUAGCGGUGAAAUGCGUAGAGAUCUGGAGGAAUACCGAUGGCGAAGGCAGCCAUCUGGCCUAACACUGACGCUGAGGUGCGAAAGCAUGGGGAGCAAACAGGAUUAGAUACCCUGGUAGUCCAUGCCGUAAACGAUGUCUACUAGCCGUUGGGGCCUUUGAGGCUUUAGUGGCGCAGCUAACGCGAUAAGUAGACCGCCUGGGGAGUACGGUCGCAAGACUAAAACUCAAAUGAAUUGACGGGGGCCCGCACAAGCGGUGGAGCAUGUGGUUUAAUUCGAUGCAACGCGAAGAACCUUACCUGGCCUUGACAUAGUAAGAACUUUCCAGAGAUGGAUUGGUGCCUUCGGGAACUUACAUACAGGUGCUGCAUGGCUGUCGUCAGCUCGUGUCGUGAGAUGUUGGGUUAAGUCCCGCAACGAGCGCAACCCUUUUCCUUAUUUGCCAGCGAGUAAUGUCGGGAACUUUAAGGAUACUGCCAGUGACAAACUGGAGGAAGGCGGGGACGACGUCAAGUCAUCAUGGCCCUUACGGCCAGGGCUACACACGUGCUACAAUGGUCGGUACAAAGGGUUGCUACACAGCGAUGUGAUGCUAAUCUCAAAAAGCCGAUCGUAGUCCGGAUUGGAGUCUGCAACUCGACUCCAUGAAGUCGGAAUCGCUAGUAAUCGCGGAUCAGAAUGCCGCGGUDAAUACGUUCCCGGGCCUUGUACACACCGCCCGUCACACCAUGGGAGUUU